ACAAGUAAUUGUGUGACUUUGUGCUAUGUUAUUCAUACUAUUCUGUGAGCUGAGUGCCACAAUGUCAAGUUUAUGUAAUUGAGGUUGUAAUUAUGUAAUUGUAAUUAAGGUUGUCAACUGGUGGGUUUUGAAAUUAAUGUAGAAGUUGGGCCUGUUCUAGUCAAACCAUUGACAUUCUAAACAUUUAGUAACCAAUGAUGGAUUAAAUCAUAUGACUUUAAGGACAACUGUGGUUUAAGGUUGUGCAGUAAAGCCAGUUGAGAACAACUAAUGUAGUCACUUUAAUACAAUUAUCAAAACAUGCUGACUGGGAGAUGGAGAUAGAGAAAAACUUUCAAAAUCAUGUCCAAGUCACUAUUUAUAAUUUACAGGUACCUUUUAUACUCUAGGCUAUUAUGUGACCAUUUGCUUCAUGUUUUCAUCAUUUUUCUAUUUGGUUACAUCAAUUUAUUGGGAGGGAAAAGUUGCCUGCAAACUCUUGAUAUUGUUAUGCUAUAACCAUAUCAGUGAAUACCAUGUACUAUGUACUGUUUUAUGCAUGUGUGCAUGUGUGUGCGUGUGUGUGUGUGUGUGUGUGUGUGUGUGUGUGUGUGUGUGUGUGUGUGUGUGUGUGUGUGUCAAAGAAAUGCAAUUAAAACUUUUUUUUUUCCCCAAAUCCAGUCUGUUUGUUAGAUGUUGCAACUUAGUCUUUUCACUCUAAUGGAAGAACAUCUAUGAAUCUUUUAUUCAUAAAUCUGACAAAGCUAACAAUUACUACACGUGUAGUUGCAACAAAACAAGCGUCAUGUUGUCAGGCAUCCGAAGCUGUCAAACUGAACCUGAAGCCGCUUAUGCCGCCUAGCGGAGCGGUGGAAAACUGCACUUCAGUUUCUACAAUGCAGGUCGUGUUAGAAUUAUAAUGCAUGCAGUUUCAAAGUUGUUUCAGAUUUGGUCAAUGGCUAUAUUUCAAAUAGCCAUACAUUAACAUAUUCAUACUCAAGCAAAAGUCCCUAUUUAUUGUGUUAAAUGUGUAUAAGGCAAGUGGCUAAAGGCUCCCUCUUGUGGUCAAAAGUAUCAACAUUCAUAAAUGAAACGACAAACAAGGUGGCCAGUCAUACAUUUCAUGUAUUUUACAACAAAUGUAUGGGUUUGUCAGGGACUUCGACCAGCAGAGAAACAUGGAUCUACCAGUUUGAGUAAAUGAACCAGAUCAGCUCUCAACUGAUGGGGUAAAAUUUGUUGUUAAACUCAAAAGCACAUGCUCAAAGAUUCAAGCAGCAUUUAUAGUAAUCAGAUGGAUUCACCAUCUCCUCCUUGAGGAGCCUCUGGAUAGUGAGCGGAUCUCACUCCACGUCCUGAUCUGAGUCUCUAUCUGAAGUUCUGACAUUAGGAUGGAGGAGGGCGACAGUGAGCAGGGGAAUAUAUUCACCACUCAGAUGUUUGGGGGAACAGGCUGUAAAGUCAGCCUAACUGAUCUACACAUCUACAACCAUGUUAACACUUUUAAUUAGGUUAAACCAUGGCCCACUGGCUGUUCGGAGGGAUUGAUCACUCUUCAUACAAUUAUUGAUUAUUUGAUUAAAUAAAUAUACUUGAAUAAAGCCUGUAUCAAAAUGACAGUUGACAUACAUAAUAUGUAAUUUACAAACUAAUUGCUAUAACAGCUAAAACGUUUUUUAUUUUUUUUUUAUUGAUUAAUAUAACAGGCACAAGCAGGAGAUCUGAUCAGUGUGUCACCUCCCCCUUGUGGGCAAUAAGUGUAACAUUUAAAAAUAGCAGUAGGUGCAAAGAGAAGCUGUUGUCUAAUCCUGCUCCUGAUGAGCCACUUUCCUGAGUUUAGCUCCAACCUGAUUAAAAACACCUGAAGCAGCUAAUCAAGGUCUUCAGGGACACUAGAAACUUCCAGGCAGGUGUGAUGGACUCUUUUUCUAAAUUAAAAACUAUUUGAAUAAUGUUACUUAGAUGUUAUGUGUUUGUCAGUUUGAGCUUGAAAAAUUAAUAAAGAUCUUAAUGGUAA